rnacentral:lncRNA from 1 species
GGCAGAAGAAUCGCUUGAACCCCGGGAGGCGGAGGUUACAAUCUGUUUCUUAGAAGUGGACACGUGAACUCUUACACAGAUCAAGAGGAGCAGCUCUGUAAAUAUUUCCCUGAGUUUUUUCAGCCUGCGCCCAGAAAUGAACAAGGACAGCUUGGAGGUUAGAGGCAAGAUGGAGUCGUUUAAGUUGGACCUCUUUCACUGUCUCAGUCAUAAUUUUGCAAAGGCGGUUUCAGUUGCAGACAAAAGGAUCCGCAGGCUCCAGUGACUGUCUGCAUGGCGGGAGAAAACACAAGAAACUGGUUGGAGUAAAAAGAUUCCCCUUUUCAAGAUCGCCAAAAGUGGAACUGAUCGCUUUCGAAGGGACUCCUUCAGGAAGAAGGAGAAAAAUUCGAGAAACUUACCUGUUUCUCUCCCUGGAAUGCCUUCUGAACCCUGAGAUUUACUUUCCUCAAUAAAGAAGCUCGCCUCGCCCACCCAGCCCACUCUUCCUAGGAGCAGCGAGGAUCGCUGUCCCUCCAGCACAUACUAGUCAACUCGAGUCAUCUGAAUAUGGGCAUAUUGGGCACAUAUUUCUUUGUAAUGGUUCCUCUCCUAUUACAAUAUGUAUCUGUUGUUUCAUCGUUAGAUUGAAAGCUCUUUAAGAAUUAUGGUAACAGUGUUACAGCUCUUUCAGAAUUUGUUUAGCAGGUUUUCUGGUUUUCACAGGAAAA